GUAAGCUCAUCCAGAUGUUUGCUAUUGACAAGAAAUAUAUAUCCUAACACCAUAUGGACACAGAGAAACAAACAUUCUUAUGUAUUGGAGGUGAGGCUAUAAAUCUGUUUGAUCUUUCUGCAAAGCAAUAUGGUUAUUUGUGUCAGGAGAUUUUAAAAUGUUCAUAUCAUGGAAUAUUAUGCAGCCAUAAAAAGAAUGAGCUCAUGUUCUUUGCAGGGACAUGGAUGAAGCUGGAAACCAUCAUUGUCAGCAAACUAACACAGGAACAGAAAACCGAGCACCGCAUGUUCUCACUCAUUCAGUGGGAGCUGAGGAAUAAGAACACAUGGACACAGGAAG
rnacentral:lncRNA from 1 species